CGGGAGUGGUGGUGGUGG
rnacentral:miRNA from 1 species